UACGGAGGGUGCAAGCGUUAUCCGGAUUCACUGGGUUUAAAGGGUGCGUAGGAGGGCAGGUAAGUCAGUGGUGAAAUCUCCAAGCUUAACUUGGAAACUGCCGUUGAUACUAUCUGUCUUGAAUAUUGUGGAGGUGAGCGGAAUAUGUCAUGUAGCGGUGAAAUGCUUAGAUAUGACAUAGAACACCAAUUGCGAAGGCAGCUCACUACACGGUCAUUGACACUGAGGCACGAAAGCGUGGGGAUCAAACAGG
rnacentral:rRNA from 1 species